UCUCACUGAUGAUCAUUUGCAG
rnacentral:miRNA from 1 species